rnacentral:rRNA from 1 species
GACGAACGCUGGCGGCGUGCUUAACACAUGCAAGUCGAACGGAAAGGCCCUGCUUUUGUGGGGUGCUCGAGUGGCGACCGGGUGAGUAACACGUGAGUAACCUGCCCUUGACUUUGGGAUAACUUCAGGAAACUGGGGCUAAUACCGGAUAGGAGCUCCUGCUGCAUGGUGGGGGUUGGAAAGUUUCGGCGGUUGGGGAUGGACUCGCGGCUUAUCAGCUUGUUGGUGGGGUAGUGGCUUACCAAGGCUUUGACGGGUAGCCGGCCUGAGAGGGUGACCGGCCACAUUGGGACUGAGAUACGGCCCAGACUCCUACGGGAGGCAGCAGUGGGGAAUAUUGCACAAUGGGCGGAAGCCUGAUGCAGCAACGCCGCGUGCGGGAUGACGGCCUUCGGGUUGUAAUCCGCUUUCGCCUGUGACGAAGCGUGAGUGACGGUAAUGGGUAAAGAAGCACCGGCUAACUACGUG